AAAACUUUACAAUGCGAGAAAUCGUGAUAAGGGAACCCCGAGUGCCCGUAAAUCCGGGCUGUCCGCCAGUGUAAAUAACUGGUGAAGAAAGGGCCGGGCAAGACCGGUGCCAGCCGCCGCGGUAAUACCGGCGGCUCGAGUGGUGGCCGCUAUUACUGGGCUUAAAGCGUUCGUAGCUGGGCUGUUAAGUCCCCUGGGAAAUCCACCGGCUCAACCGAUGGGCGUUCAGGGGAUACUGGCAGCCUAGGGACCGGGAGAGGUGAGGGGUACUCCAGGGGUAGGAGUGAAAUCCUGUAAUCCUUGGGGGACCACCUGUGGCGAAGGCGUCUCACUAGAACGGCUCCGACAGUGAGGAACGAAAGCUGGGGGAGCAAACCGG
rnacentral:rRNA from 1 species